UACGAAGGGGGCUAGCGUUGCUCGGAAUCACUGGGCGUAAAGCGCACGUAGGCGGCUUACUAAGUCAGGGGUGAAAUCCUGGAGCUCAACUCCAGAACUGCCUUUGAUACUGGUGAGCUUGAGUCCGGAAGAGGUAAGUGGAACUGCGAGUGUAGAGGUGAAAUUCGUAGAUAUUCGCAAGAACACCAGUGGCGAAGGCGGCUCACUGGUCCGGUACUGACGCUGAGGUGCGAAAGCGUGGGGAGCAAACAGG
rnacentral:rRNA from 1 species